UACGUAGGGGGCAAGCGUUGUCCGGAUUUAUUGGGCGUAAAGAGCGUGUAGGCGGCCAGGUAGGUCCGUUGUGAAAACUGGAGGCUUAACCUCCAGCUGUCGAUGGAAACCAUCUGGCUAGAGUCCGGAAGAGGAGAGUGGAAUUCCUGGUGUAGCGGUGAAAUGCGCAGAUAUCAGGAAGAACACCGGUGGCGAAGGCGGAUCUCUGGGACGGUACUGACGCUGAGACGCGAAAGCGUGGGGAGCGAACAGG
rnacentral:rRNA from 1 species